AUUGAACGCUGGCGGCAGGCUUAACACAUGCAAGUCGAGCGGGGGAAGGUAGCUUGCUACCGGACCUAGCGGCGGACGGGUGAGUAAUGCUUAGGAAUCUGCCUAUUAGUGGGGGACAACAUCUCGAAAGGGAUGCUAAUACCGCAUACGUCCUACGGGAGAAAGCAGGGGAUCUUCGGACCUUGCGCUAAUAGAUGAGCCUAAGUCGGAUUAGCUAGUUGGUGGGGUAAAGGCCUACCAAGGCGACGAUCUGUAGCGGGUCUGAGAGGAUGGUCCGCCGACAUGGGACUGAGACACGGCCCAGACUCCUACGGGAGGUAGCAGUGUGGAAUAUUGGACAAUGGGGGGAACCCUGAUCCAGCCAUGCCGCGUGUGUGAAGAAGGCCUUAUGGUUGUAAAGCACUUUAAGCGAGGAGGAGGCUACUCUAGUUAAUACCUAGGGAUAGUGGACGUUACUCGCAGAAUAAGCACCGGCUAACUCUGUGCCAGCAGCCGCCGUAA
rnacentral:rRNA from 1 species